UGAGCCUUAUCAGCAGUUCAGCACACGCUGCUUUCUCCUUCAUCUCCUCCGGCUCGGACCGAACCGAGCUCCCUUCGCUGGUCGAUUCCGACCAUCUCCGGCAGCCCCUUCUCGAUUCUUCACUUGAGCACCUCCCUCGCCACCUCUUCCAGCUUCCCAAGCCCCUGGUCGAGCUGCUCCCCGGCCGAAUCCGCCAGAAUCGAUCCUGCCACUGCCGGCCGCCACUAGAGUUUCUCCCGUCGCUCCGGUCUGUCGUCGACGACCCUCCUCCAGCCCUCCUCCUAGCCCACCCACGUGCAAAAAUCGAAUACCCGGUGAGCCUUCGAUCCAUCCGGGUUGUUUCCCUCUGUUUCGCACAUCGCCGGCGCCGAAACGCAGUCGCGUCGCCAUGGUCGACCCGUCGCCGUCUCUGUUGCCGCGCUCCUCGUGAGCCGCAAGCGUCCAGAGCCGUGCCACGCCACCGAGCGCGCCGGCCCCUCCGGGGCUCGCUGGCCACGGGCCCGCUCUGCCCCGCCGCCGGCCGCGGGCCCUCCCUGACCCGUCGGCGCCGACCUCAUCCACGCACCGCGAUGGGGUGCCUCUCCUCUGCGGCGCAGAACCCGUCCCCUCGCCUCGUCCUCCACUCCUCCCACCCCCUCCACCUCAACUUCCCCCUCCCCCUACCCAUGCCUCUCUGCCUGGUCCCCCGCCCCGGCCAGCGCGGCGACCUCCGCCCGAAGCCCUUAGCUCGACUUCAAUGACCGGGGCCUAGAUGCGGCUAGGCAGUCGGCCUCACCUCACCUCCACCGCACCUCCCUUUCUGUGUUUCCAUCUCGCCUCCCACGCCGCCUCUCGCGACCCGGACAGAUCGUACCCUCCCAGCACGGCGGCCAUGGAGAGGCUGAUCUCUUUCGUCAACAAGCUGCAGCGGGCCUGCGCGGCCCUCGGCGACCACGGCCAGCAGAGCGCCCUACCAACGCUCCAGAGCUUGCUGCCGGCCAUGCAGUCGUUGGAGGCCAGGUGAUCGGCUCCCCUUUCUUUGCACGCAUUUUGGGUUGGUUCCUAUCGGAUGCAAUCACAACUGCGCGGGGCGACUAUCACGGGUUGCUUGUGGCCAUGGAUGCCCCGUCCUCCCUCUCCUCCCUUCCCUUCAUCUUCCUCACCAGGCAAGGUAAGAUUCACCUCUGUGUUUUAGCUUCCUUUACCCUUUGGGUGGACAGAAGAUUGACCCAGUAUGCAGUAGUCCGAUUUGGGCGAGGAACAACUCUAUGAGAACACAGGGUAGCAGCCUAGCAAGCCAGUCGGUCAAUGCUUGCAUCCUGCAGUGUAGCCACGGAAGUGGUCCUCACCACUGAACAGCAACAUUCAGGUAUGCAUACUAUUCAAAGUUCUAAUACAUAUUUUUGCAACUUUUUGUUACUGCAUUUAGACAUCAGAUUUAUGUAUUUUAGCUACUCACCGUAUAUCCAUACAUUUGCAACAAAGAGGAAAGAAAAAGAAAAUUUUUGUUCUUUAGCUUAUACGGUCCUUCAAUAUUCCAAAGAAUCUCAAUUUCUCUUUCCGCUUUAUUUUGUAUACCAGCUGGGUUCUUCAUCUUUAUUGCUUAGUAGAUCAGAAUGACAAAGACUCUAGAAUCAAGUUAUUUGCACCGUUUAUAUCAGAAGUGUGCUAUCCCUUGCAGCAUAAUUAAAUCCAAUUGCUUUGCAUCGAUCACAGCAAAACAAGAUGCCUAGGCGAUAGAUAAAUAAUCCUUGCAGGAAUAUUGGUUCAGAGUCUACACAAAAACAGCAGGCAUGAUACUAAUAGUGUGGACUUUACCAAGUUACAGGUAGGUGACUGUUUAAAAUUCUAAGCUGGCUACCCUUUUACUCUUUUGACAAUUACAUGUCAAAUAGUUUUAAAUCACUGAAACCUUUAAAACAGAUUUAUCAUAGUUUGAAAUUGAUGUGCAGCACAGGCCUCACCAGGGUUUGCUCUUGGUAGAAGGUUCCAGUUCUGUGUCCCAGCAGAUUUCCUAUCUACUCAUCAAGCAUUUAUUUUUCUUCAGUUAAGUUUUGCGAAAAAAAAGCUUCAGGCAAGGUACAAAAUUUGUUUCAGACUUAAUGAAAAAUAUAAAACCAGAUUAAGUAUGCUUUUGAUUUCCGUAUCUAUACUACACUUUUUCAUUUGGAAAAAUUUUGCUUCGCCAAUACCUACUGUGCAUGUAGUUCUGCAGUAACAGAAAUUAAAAAGCACAUUUCAGGAACUCAUAUGCUGUCUUUAUCAUUUAUGUAGGCUAUUCAGGAAAGAAGCAGGGUUGAGGAGAUUCGAGUGCUGUUCAAGUUUAGCUACUACUUGGGCGCUAUAGAAUGUCAAUGGAUUGAACCAGUUAAGUAUUUUUCUUUCUCCUUUCCAUGUACAGUUAGAAAAGCUAUCUACAGACCAUGCAGUCCUGAUGUGCACUACCUUCUGGGAUGAUUAUUUCUUUUCCCAUGAGGCUAUGAACAGCUGCAGGCUCUCUUAGUUUACUACAUUAUAAAAUAUAUAUGCCUGCCCAUGUUAAACUACCACCUGUGUCUAUUGGUUUUUAGGGUAUCCAAAACAAUGUAUUGUGUCAUUUUUUUUGCGAGUAUGUACUGUGUCAUAUAUGGCGUGAUGUGUAUUACCAUGGAUAGACACUGAUCUACAGGAUACUUCAUCCAGCCAAGAUCCAUGUAAACAAAAUAAAUGCCUAUAGAAUUGGUAUUCACCGUCCAUUAUUUCUUACCAAAUGCUAAUUAUCCGCAUUUAUUUACUAAAACGAAAACCAUAUCUCUUCGAAGAUCCAAAUAUGGUUGCAGAAACUUUUGAGUAGAACUCCAAUUGUGAACCGAUACUAGAGAUGAUUAUUACACUAUAGAUACAGAUAGAUUGAAUGACUCAUCAUGUUUUUUUAGCCUUACAGCGAACCCGGAGAAUGGAAGUGCAAAUGCUAGGUAACUACUCAAACACAAUGGCUCUGUUCUCAAAUGUAUAAAAUCAUAAUAAUAAAUUUAUUUUGUUUCCAUUCAUACAGUUCCAAACUUACACAACUAUAUUUUCCUUCCAUUAUAUCGACCAGCAUGUCUAAAACUUGGAAGUUAUUCGAUAAUUCACCUUUUUCCCUCACUGCCCAUCAUUAGCUGAUUCCUCCUAAAAUUUAAAAAAGAAUAUGCGCGCAGGGCAAUCACAAUCAAAGAAAUACGAAAAGAUUUAUUCGUUUAAUCAUAGCAAUCAUCCUCGCCACAUUUGCAGCCCCUUAUAUGGUGCCCAUUUUCAAAAUGCUUCAUCAGCUAUAUUGAAACCUACCUCUCUCCCAUACCAAUACACCCUCAGCUAUUCCAUGGCCAUAGCUCUACCAGUCAAUACCAUUUGGAAAGAAAAUGGAACAGCUUCUGUGUAAUAUCUUAUACAGAUUAUUAGGCACUCUUAUCUCACCAACAACAGUAUGAACCAUUGUAUUUUGGUUAUGUGUCCUGAGGUUAGGAGGUUCCUUUAGUUUCAGAGCCCCAAAACUCUUUUCUACUGCACCUAUUAAUGACAUAUGUACUGUAUUGUGCUGAAGUCGUUUACACAGCUUGGGAUGCUACCAAAAAUUUUCUAAAUUCAAAUGUUGCCAAACAACUUCUACAUGAAAAAACAUACCUCUUUCAGUUCAAUUCAACGAAUGAUAUCCUUCCAGCCUUCAUUGCCAAAAAAAAGGAAAAUCAUGUCACUUCCUAGAGCACUAAUAAAUAUAACCUUAUUACAGGUAAUAUCACACUCUGUUACCUAUUUCAGAAGCACAACUGAACUGAUAUCUUAUAUUUUAAAAUUUAAAUGGCCUGCAGGAGACCAUGUGCAACAAAUGCUUUAUGAAAGCAACUGGAGACUCCAGGAACUUUAUAAUCCAAUUUCUCAGUUACCAAUAAAAUAUUUUAGUGGAGCUUCUAGGGGGAAAAACAUAGUUGUUAGCUUUAUUACCAUUGUAAACAAAUCUACCUAUGUAUUUAGAUUCGUACUAGAAGACUAAAUGAUACUUCUCUGUAGAUAACAUGUGGCAUUAUAAAUAUAUGAUUUCUAUAUUUACUCAUGUUGAGAAAAAGAAGGAAAAAAAAAAGGAGCGCCAAAGCCUACAGGUAACAAGAGCCGCCAUAGACCCAAAGGAUUUUAUGAUCGAAUGUAUCAGGACCAAAAAAAUGUUUAGCUAUAGAAUCUCCCUAAUGAUAUGUACUUCUGCAUAUAAAUUUCAAUGCAAAUCAUAGAUAUCAGCUUUAAUAUCAUUAUGUGCAAAUGUACUUCUUCGUUUAGAUUCCUAUAGUAUAAAUAAAUAGUAUCUGUGCUGCUUAAAUGUUCUAUUACAAGCAUAUAAAUUUAAGAUUUACUUAUAUAAAAAAAUUAAGCCAAGGCACGCCAAGGCGCGCGCAAAGUACUCGUAUAUAUCAUUCGCGCACCGCUCCGUGCGAGCUCAGGGCGGCCACGAUAGAAAAAAGCUGCGGUCCGCACGAUGUCCAUCCAACGGCCCGUGGGCCCACUCUCUCCCCCUCCUCCCCAGCCAUUGGCUGGAGCCUUCUUGUGUCUUCCCUAUGAGCUUCCCCCGCCGGUGCUCCGGAUCUUCCAUGGCAAAGGUGCUGAUGGCGGCGGCGAUAGCUGCUCCCCCCGCCGCCCGACCAUCCCCACUUUCGCUUCCACCGUGGGCUCUUUCUCCGGCGCCCCCUUUUCCCCCACCCGCCCUGCUAGGCUAGUGUUCCCCGCCAGCGCGCCGGUCCUGGCUACGGCCGGCGCCCAACCGCUCCCGAUCUCCUCCCUCCUGUGAUUCCGUGGCCUAACGCCUUAGCCACACCCGCUUCCACGCCACUUCGGCCGCCGCCCUGCCGCACCUUACGCAGCUCCAAUCCCUGGUCCCCGCCUCCUCCACAUCGCGUCUCCGUCACCCCCUCCAACAGCCCCGACUUGCCCUACCUCGAUCUCCGUGCAACGGGAGUAUCUCCCUACGACAAGGUCUGCGUGAUGGAGCUCCCCUACAGCCACGCGUUGUAGGUGCUCAACUUGGUGAUGAAAAAGGACCUCUUCUAGGGGCGUGAGAUUCUGAGUGAGCAAAGGGUACUGGUAGGAUGAGGCUCCAAUGGAGAGAGCUUUCCAUGCCCUUCAUUUUUGCUUCAGUUCUGAUGCACACAGCACACCAACUGCUUGAUGUAUUUCCCAAACAAAAGAUUGAGUACCUAUAUUCUUGUUCUAUCUAUUUUUUUACGGCUAACCAAUACCAGUAUCCACAUAUUUUGAGCUUAUUCCAGGCCGCGAGAUUCGUCGCACUGCCAGGACCAGCCUAAAAUGGAGGAAACUCACAUGUUUCAUGCCUUUCUUUUUUUUCUUCUGACUUCAAUUCUGGUACACACCAGUGUGUGCAGGUCAGCUGAUACAUGUGUUCAUACACAAGCACGGAUUAUCUCCACAAAAGAGCUCAAUCCUCUCUGUAUGAAGUUAUUGUAUAACAAAAUGUCCUUAUACGGUUUCCUUAUUGUUACUACAAUCACCAAAGUCAAAUGGGUUUGAUGUAUAUGUCAUUUUUUUCUAUACAGAUGCAGAGCUUGCCAUUUGAAAAGGAUCUACAUGGAGACAUGGAGGUGCAAGAGGUGAUCCUGUCCAGUCAGCGAUGAGAAUGUGAAAGUGCCAACCUCCGAAAACUUAAUAUUGUUUUGUAUUUAUAAUAUGUUGUGUUAAACCUAUAUGUCCCAGCCAAUAGAUUGCAUAUUAUUCAAAAGGUGCCUACACCUACCUCUUUUGAUCUGUCCACAGCUGCUGACAUGUGCUCCGAUCUAGCUACAUAAAUAAAAGGUCACAAUUCCGUGCUGGAAUGGAGCUAACCAUUCUGUCAAUCUUGCAAAGCAUAUCAUCUAUGUAUUUGUGUUCUGAUUUUAGAAUAUUAGAGCAACUGCUGAUUUCCAAGAUGACUCCGUUACUUAUAAUUCUGCCCUUGUACUACUUUACUCGAGAAUUGUGAACAACCAUUUUUACCCAUGAUGACUGCUGCAUGCACUCCAUCUGGUUCGGGAAUAGGUCAUGUGCAUACUUCAGGUAAACUUCGUUGGCGAUGACUAUGGGUCAGCCAAAGUAGAGCCACCAUGCUGAAGCAAUGGAUAGGUUAUUUUGAGAUGCAUCCCAUGAACAUGCAUUUAAAUUCUUUUAUCCUUUUCUAAAAUAGGGAACUUCUUAUUAUCCUGUUGUGUGAUUGCAAUGGAUCUUAUGUCAAUUUUUUGUUGUGCAAGAAAGAGAGGAAAUGAGGUAAGCGGAUGUGCAGAACUCAAAUAGAGUAUGGGUGAGCCUGAAGAAAUCAGAAAUCUUCUUUCAUCAGUCUUUGCCAAUUUAUGUUCCAACAAUGUAGCUCUUAUAGUUCACAUAUAAAAUGUCCUCACGGGAAUUUCAUCAUAUGUAUUUGCACCCUGGUGUGCUGCAGUUCUGAAUUGUAUUUUUUGGCUGCCGGUGAACUUUAAGUGUGAGUUCUCUGCGUACAUUAGCAUUUCUAUUCCCGCCAGUAUCUUUCAUUUUCAGUGAUUAGCUCACCACCAUAACUGAUGUUAUAAUGUUUACUGAAUAACGAGGAUCAUAGUAUAUAAUGUCACUAUAAAAAGUUGGUAAACAAAUAUUGAGUUCUUCUUCUGCAGGAACAUCUGUAACUGUCUCUAAUUGAUCUUCUGUGUAAUUUGUUCUGUUAUUUUGGCUUAGAGUGUACAAUUUUUAUAGGGUUUCCAAAUAUGAAUCUACACAUGUAUUGUUCUUUACAAACUAUGUUGCUCCUGAAUAGCUGACAAUUUCCAUAAUAUUCUCCCCUUGAUCAUUCAUUUUCCAAUUUAAAGUGCUCCUUGCUUCUUAUUGUCUGCUACAAUUUCAAACCUGUCAGAUAGUGGUUUUCCCUCAUUGAAAACAAUUUUUAAUUA